AAUUUUUUUUUUUUUUUUUUUUUUUUUUUUUUUUGUGCUCGGGAGCUAGGCCUUCGAGGGAGCCGGGUCUUGAAAAUUUUAGACCUCGGGAGCUAGGCCUUCGAGGGAGCCGGGUCAUGAAAAUUUUAGACUUCGCCACAAUUCCUCCAUGGCCCUUGCCGUUCGGCAAGGGUCUAGCCAAUUUUUAUUUUUUUUUUUUGUUGUGCUCGGGAGCUAGGCCUUCGAGGGAGCCGGGUCAUGAAAAUUUUAGACCUCGGGAGCUAGGCCUUCGAGGGAGCCGGGUCUUGAAAAUUUUAGACUUCGGGAGCUAGGCCUUCGAGGGAGCCGGGUCAUGAAAAUUUUAAACUUCGCCACAAUUCCUCCAUGGCCCUUGCCGUUCGGCAAGGGUCUAGCCAAAUUUUUUUUUUUGUUUUUUUUUGUUUUUUUUUUGUCUACAAGACCGUGGUGAGCUGACCCAUUGGCAGGCUAAGGCUUGUGUAAGCCUCUUCAAAAAACUGAAUGACCCAUGCCGUUCGGCAAGGGGUUGAAAAUG
rnacentral:lncRNA from 1 species